UGGGGAAUAUUGCACAAUGGGGGAAACCCUGAUGCAGCGACGCCGCGUGAAGGAAGAAGUAUCUCGGUAUGUAAACUUCUAUCAGCAGGGAAGAUAGUGACGGUACCUGACUAAGAAGCCCCGGCUAACUACGUGCCAGCAGCCGCGGUAAUACGUAGGUGGCAAGCGUUGUCCGGAUUUACUGGGUGUAAAGGGCGUGUAGCCGGGCCGACAAGUCAGAUGUGAAAAUCCGGGGCUCAACCGCGGAACUGCAUUGGAAACUGUCAUACUUGAGUGCCGGAGGGGUAAGCGGAAUUCCUAGUGUAGCGGUGAAAUGCGUAGAUAUUAGGAGGAACACCAGUGGCGAAGGCGGCUCUCUGGUCUGCAACUGACACUGAGGCACGAAAGCGUGGGGAGCAAACAGG
rnacentral:rRNA from 1 species